AUCCUAGGGUGACAACAGAAUAGAAACAAAGCAUUAACGGCGUCCAGCUUGGCUGCAGCGAGGGUUAGGGGACGAGGGAGAGGGAGAGGGAGUUCGACUGUUCAUCUUGUCCCGAGUGACUUUCUCAGCCUGUUGCUGAAUCUGAGGCACAACAAGGAUAUUCCACUGUCCCCUGGGUCUCUGCUCAGUACUGGUUUAUUGUCUUGGUUCCCGGGAGUCCCAGGAACCCCUAUCUGCAAAAACUGGCCGCCCCUCGGAAGCUGGGCAGAUGACUGGACGACACAGAUAUUGUGCUAAGAGGUUGCUGAGCCUCUGGAGAUCUCAGCGCACAGAGCAAGGCAGGAGAGGCUGAAAAAAGAAGGUUCCGCUGUUGAUGCUGUGAUGACCAAGACAAAGUGGCAUCUUCGGUGUGUGGCACCCCUCCUCCCCCCCACCCGAACCAAGCCCCCUAAGGUCCCUGGGCCCAGCCUCCACCUCUCCGCAGCCGGGUACCUGCACUCGAGCCUCCGACAGCCCCAGCCGCUGGCUCAGUUCCUCCCGCAUGAAGGCGUCCGGAUAGUGAGUCUCGUCAA